AGCUUGCUCCCUGAUGUUAGCGGCGGACGGGUGAGUAACACGUGCUGAACCUGCCUGUAAGACUGGGAUGACUCCGGGAAACCGGGGCUAAUACCGGAUGGUUGCUUGAUGCGCAGGGUUCAAACGUUUUUGGUGGCUUCGGCUACCACUUACAGAUGGACCCGCGGCGCAUUAGCUAGUUGGUGAGGUAACGGCUCACCAAGGCGACGAUGCGUAGCCGACCUGAGAGGGUGAUCGGCCACACUGGGACUGAGACACGGCCCAGACUCCUACGGGAGGCAGCAGUAGGGAAUCUUCCGCAAUGGACGAAAGUCUGACGGAGCAACGCCGCGUGAGUGAUGAAGGUUUUCGGAUCGUAAAGCUCUGUUGUUAGGGAAGAACAAGUGCCGUUCAAAUAGGGCGGCACCUUGACGGUACCUAACCAGAAAGCCACGGCUAACUACGUGCCAGCAGCCGCGGUAAUACGUAGGUGGCAAGCGUUGUCCGGAAUUAUUGGGCGUAAAGGGCUCGCAGGCGGUUUCUUAAGUCUGAUGUGAAAGCCCCCGGCUCAACCGGGGAGGGUCAUUGGAAACUGGGGAACUUGAGUGCAGAAGAGGAGAGUGGAAUUCCACGUGUAGCGGUGAAAUGCGUAGAGAUGUGGAGGAACACCAGUGGCGAAGGCGACUCUCUGGUCUGUAACUGACGCUGAGGAGCGAAAGCGCGGGGAGCGAACACGAUUAUAUACGCUGUGAGUCUACGCCGCAAACGAUGAGAGCUAAAGUUAUAGGGAUUCCCCCCCCCUUUGCUGCGCUCACGCAUUAUUAACACCUCCUGCUGAGUAGAGGGCGCCACUGCUACUCACCAAAAGUGAUGACGGUCGCACGCACAGUGGGAGGAGUAUGGUGUGUUAAGUCGUAGGCAGCGAGAUAUACUAACCAGUGCUUGCCUUCAUCAGACAAUUCGAUAGAUGGGAGGUCCCCUUCCGGGACCGACUGAGAGGAGUGGCAUG
rnacentral:rRNA from 1 species